rnacentral:rRNA from 1 species
AGUGAACGCUGGCGGUAGGCCUAACACAUGCAAGUCGAACGGAAGCACAGUAAGAGCUUGCUCUUACGGGUGGCGAGUGGCGGACGGGUGAGGAAUACAUCGGAAUCUACUUUUUCGUGGGGGAUAACGUAGGGAAACUUACGCUAAUACCGCAUACGACCUACGGGUGAAAGCAGGGGAGCUUCGGACCUUGCGCGAUUGAAUGAGCCGAUGUCGGAUUAGCUAGUUGGUGGGGUAAAGGCCCACCAAGGCGACGAUCCGUAGCUGGCCUGAGAGGAUGAUCAGCCACACUGGAACUGAGACACGGUCCAGACUCCUACGGGAGGCAGCAGUGGGGAAUAUUGGACAAUGGGCGAAAGCCUGACCCAGCCACACCGCGUGGGUGAAGAAGGCCUUCGGGUUGUAAAGCCCUUUUGUUGGGAAAGAAAAGCAGUAGGUUAAUCCCCCGCUGUUCUGACGGUACCCAAAGAAUAAGCACCGGCUAACUUCGUG